rnacentral:lncRNA from 1 species
CUGCCUCAGCCUCCUGAGUAGCUGGGAUUACAGGUGUGCACCACGCCUGGCCAAUUUUGUAUUUUCAGUAGAUACACCCACCCCCAGGCUCUGGGGACCAAGCCCUGCUCAAAUUGGGGGUGGUGCUGCCAGGGGCAGGGGCAGAGAGGGUGGGAGCCUCCCUUCCAAGUAUUUUAGGGUUUCUCCAUGUUGGUCAGGCUGGUCUCGAACUCCUGACCUCAGGUGAUCCACCCACCUCAGCCUCCCAAAGUGCUGGGAUUACAGGCAUGAGCCACCACGCCUGGCCCCUUGUUUUCCAACCUCCUGCCUAUUCUUCUCCUCCGUGAAGCCCUCCUGAUUUGAAACCCUUGGCUCCCCUUUUCUUGGUUUCUUCCUGCACUCAACAAGCCCCUCCAGCAAUUCCUAAAUCAGGUCCUGGUGUGACUCUCUUCUCUCUCAUCGGACUAGGGGAACAGGCCUGCGUCUCCUCCCUCUGAACUGCCAACUACUAACCCCCACCAUACCCAUUGUCUCCACACCACCUCCCACGCCCCCUGAAGACUCAGACCCAAAACAGAUCUGUAAAGCAUGUGCGUGUGACCAUGGGAACCCGGGAGUCCUGUCUCCUCUUCAUCCACAGAAAUUUCCACAGAAGCCCCACGGAUUCCCAUUUCAGAGUCUUCGACAUGUUGCCAUAAAUUGUCUUCUGAGGAGGAAGCCAGAUCUCAAGUUCUAGCAGUGAAGCUUCAGAGAAGAGGCUGGGAUAGCCAGAUGACAAGCUGAGGCCUACGAUGAUUUAGGCUGAGGAUACCAUCUGCCUGAGAGAACCCUCCUCUUGGAGUCUUGCUCCUCAAAAUGUGACUUCAGAGCCAGCAGCAUUGGCAUCCCUGGAAGCGUGGUACCAAUGCAUUCUUGGACCUCAACUCAGACCUAUUCAAUCCAACUCUCCAGUUUAGCAAGAUCCCCAGGUGAUUUUUAUGUACAUUAAAGUUUGAAAGCAAUACUCUAAAGAACCAGAAAUGCCAGACCAGGGUCCAACAGGGAAACUGAAUGCCUAAGACAUUCAUUCAUUCAUUUACCCAUUCAAUAAAUACUUAAUAAGCA